ACUUGUGCACAUACUUCUGGGAGCAGGACAGUGAUUCUAGUACGUUCUCUUCUCAGGUUACCUGUAGAGAAAGGCUUUUUGGGCCUGGGCUUUGUAACCCUACUCUGAGUGUGUUCUAAUGUUCUUUGCCCAUUAUGGCAGGCAAUUUCAUGCUCCUGAGAGUGUGUAGACUCCAAAGGUGCCUUUAUUUGAUACAAAGGCCAUCAUAAAAUGUAGCUUUGAAAUGGGAUCCAUGCAGCUCUAAAAUGGACUAGAGUAGUGAUUUCUAUACAUAGGGAACGCCAGCAUCCUGUUUCAUGAAAAGAGAUCUCCCGGAAAAGGCUCUUGAGUUUUAGAUGUGUAUCCACAUUGGAAGCAAUGGGCUACCACUUUGACUCCUCAGAACAAUCCUCUUUGGUAGCGGGGAGUCGUGUAAAGCUUCUUGAAAGCACAGGACCUGUGACACAAUGCACUUGUGCUCCAGCCUUCUGCAUCUCUGUCCCCUGUCACCGUUAGCCCUGACUUUACUGGGGAGACGACAUUUGAGAGAGGCUUGUGGCUUCAGGAGGAGUUCGGUAAAAGAUGUGAUGAGUCUACAAAUGACUGUUUGCAGAUCUCAGAGGCACACAGUGUUGACAAAAGCAGCUGAGUCAAACAGAAACAGCAACAGAGGUGAAGAAAACAUAUGUUUAUAUAUGU